rnacentral:rRNA from 1 species
GGGAGGCAGCAGUGGGGAAUAUUGGACAAAGGGCGAAAGCCAGAUCCAGCCAUGCCGCGUGUGUGAAGAAGGUCUUCGGAUUGUAAAGCUCUUUAAGUUGGGAGGAAGGGCAUUAACCUAAUACGUUAGUGUUUUGACGUUACCGACAGAAUAAGCACCGGCUAACUCUGUGCCAGCAGCCGCGGUAAUACAGAGGGGUCAAGCGUUAAUCGGAAUUACUGGGCG